GUAAGGUCAAGGCAAAUGCCGACGUAAAAGCAUUUAUCAUUCACACAGCGUUGAUAAAAAAAAUAAUAUUUUCAGCCCAGCCGAAGGUAAGGCAAUAUAGAUGGACCCGAUGCUCACAUAAAUUAAGUGGGCCAUUCGCUGGGGGUCAGUACGUUUCGAGAGACUUGUGAAAAUAAAUAAGAUUGGAAAUAAUUUUGCAGAGCAGGCGGGGGCUCAAUUGCUGUUUAAUAUCUCUCAUGUGGUCUGUCUGGAGUCCCAAAACGAUCGUAAAUAAUUAAUUCAAAAUUAGGAGAAUUUUUUAUAAUGGAGGUCCAAAUGAAUGGGGAACCACAGCUGCCUUACCCAAGACAUCGAGGCAAAAAAGAUCGUUGACUCGACGGAGGACGAUGAGGAUGCAGCAGAAGGGCUUCCUCUUUCACUUUCCCCAUAUGAUGCAUCGAAUAGGAUCUGCAGACCCCAGUGGCCGCUAAAAUGUGGCCAUCUCUUCUAUCUCGAAUACCUGGACACAGAAAACAGCGACAUGGCCAAGUUUAAUGUGCUGCUCUUAGGAUACCCACUCACAACACUCUAGAGAUCCUCGGUGUCCUCACUUGAUUUACUGUAGCAGAUGCAGAGGAAUGUUAAAAUAAAAUAAAUAAAUACUUUUACAUAAGCACUAAGUAACUGUAAAUCUCUCUGCACCUGCUACAGUAAAUCAAGAAAGGCCCCAAUCGAGGUCUUGGGAUCCUAGUUCCUUGCGCUUGAUCCCAAGCCGUAUCUUUUUGGGUGCGAGAACCAAAACCAAACCAAAACCAAAAUAAUACUGACGCCUUUGCUGAGAUAUUAAUAAAGACGCCUUUAAUUCUUACCUACAUUACGACCUCAGACAAUUUUUAAGUACAUCAUUUAAUUGCGUGUCAAUGGCAAGAAGCGCGUCACAAAACGCACGGAGCACAGAGCGUAGGGGACCGAACAGUUGGCC